CCUACGGGUGGCAGCAGUCGAGAAUCAUUCACAAUGGGGGAAACCCUGAUGGUGCGACGCCGCGUGGGGGAAUGAAGGUCUUCGGAUUGUAAACCCCUGUCAUGUGGGAGCAAAUUAAAAAGCUAGUACCCCAAGAGGAAGAGACCGCUAACUCUGUGCCAGCAGCCGCGGUAAUACAGAGGGCUCAAGCGUUGUUCGGAAUCACUGGGCGUAAAGCGUGCGUAGGCUGUUUCGUAAGUCGUGUGUGAAAGGCGCGGGCUCAACCCGCGGACGGCACAUGAUACUGCGAGACUAGAGUAAUGGAGGGGGAAGCGGAAUUCUCGGUGUAGCAGUGAAAUGCGUAGAUAUCGAGAGGAACACUCGUGGCGAAGGCGGGUUCCUGGACAUUAACUGACGCUGAGGCACGAAGGCCAGGGGAGCGAAAGGGAUUAGAUACCCUGGUAGUC
rnacentral:rRNA from 1 species